AUUGAACGCUGGCGGCAUGCCUAACACAUGCAAGUCGAGCGAGCGGCGGACUGGUGAGUAAUUUAUUGGGACUGCCCGAUCGAGGGGGAUAACUACUGGCAACGUUGGCUAAUACCGCAUACUAUCGGAUAACCCAUAUGGGAUUAGCUAGUAGGUGGGGUAAAGGCUCACCUAGGCGACGAUCUCUAGCUGGUCUGAGAGGAUGAUAGGCCACACUGGGACUGAGACACGGCCCAGACUCCUACGGAGGCAGCAGUGGGGAAUAUUGCACAAUGGGCGCAAGCCUGAUGCAGCCAUGCCGCGUGUAUGAAGAAGGCCUUAGGGUUGUAAAGUACUUUCAGCGGGGAGGCGUUACCCGAAGAAGAAGCACCGGCUAACUCCGUGCCAGCAGCCGCGGUAAUAC
rnacentral:rRNA from 1 species